ensembl:lncRNA
AAAGUGUGAUAAGGUGAAAAAAGUGACAGUUUAUGUCUAGAAAGUCACUUUUCAUCAAAAGUACAAUAACAAAACUAGUUCCCAUUCAUCCUGUGUCUCCAUGCACACUUGUGCUCUUUAUCCGCUCAAAACGCUAUACAGCGAACGAGAAGGCGCUAGGAGCAAAGGAAAGUGGUUUUUCUAACAAACUCAUAUAAUCAGUUGCACUGACCUACUCCAAUUUGAUAUUUUUCACAUAGUUAGACAUAAUAUAGUACUAUGAAAUGUUUCUGACCCAAAAUAUUACGAAAUAUGAUUGUUUACAUUAAAAUGCAAAAGUUGAUGAAAAAGUAUGAUAAGGUGAAAAAAGUGACAUUUUAUGUCUAGAAAGUGACUUUUCAUCAAAAGUACAAUUACAAAACUAGUUCCCAUUCAUCCUGUGUCUCCUUACACACUUGUGCUCUUUAUCCGCUCAAAACGCUAUACAGCGAACGAGAAGGCGCUAGGAGCAAAGGAAAGUGGUUUUUCUAACAAACUCAUAUAAUCAAGUGCACAACCUACUCCAAUUUGAUUUUUUUCACAUAGUUAGACAUAAUAUAGUACUAUGAAAUGUUUCUGACCCAAAAUAUUACGAAAUAUGAUUGUUUACAUUAAAAUGCAAAAGUUGAUGAAAAAGAAUGAUAAGGUGAAAAAAGUGACAUUUUAUGUCUAGAAAGUGACUUUUCAUCAAAAGUUCAAUUACAAAACUAGUUCCCAUUCAUUCUGUGUCCCUUACACACUUGUGCUCUUUAUCCGCUCAAAACGCUAUACAGCGAACGAGAAGGCGCUAGGAGCAAAGGAAAGUGGUUUUUCUAACAAACUCAUAUAAUCAAGUGCACGACCUACUCCAAUUUGAUUUUUUUCACAUAGUUAGACAUAAUAUAGUACUAUGAAAUGUUUCUGACCCAAAAUAUUACGAAAUAUGAUUGUUUACAUUAAAAUGCAAAAGUUGAUGAAAAAGUAUGAUAAG